rnacentral:tRNA from 2 species
GUGUGAAAAGCGAAAAAUUUGCAUGCGGUUUCGGCCCGUAAAGUAGAGAUGAAAGUCCUUUUUUACACU